rnacentral:misc_RNA from 1 species
CAAUAAAGCAUUCCUUACAGAGUUACAUAUAGAUAUAGGCCCACUAGUAGCGAUCACAUUCUAUUGCUUGGUUUUCACGUGGCCCAAGUCUUCUGAAUUUCAAUAUACAAUAUGUGGUCUUGUUGGAGUGAAGAAUCCCUACUUUAGAAAGCUAAUGCCAGCCUAGGCCACUAAUAAUCUAGUGGUAGUACAACAUGUAAAGGCAGGUACUAGAAUUGUUCCCAACACCAAUGAGUUUAGUUUGUCCAAACAACUACAGCAUAUAAGAUAUUAUGGUGUACUACAAAAUUAACGACUCAGAUACUGAGCAAAGAACAUGGAACUUUACCAUGGAUGAGAGAGUAGAGGCUGCCAUUGGGCUGGUAGUCGUACACAAGCAGCCGCUCCUCCUUCGCCUGGAAGAAUGCUCGGAGUGGUACAAGGUUCGGAUGGCGCAGUCGGCCAACAGCAUCCAUGUUCUGCUCGAACGCCUCUGCUUCCAGUGCCGCUGGGCCAAUCUUGGCGGCGUCCAGCCUCUUGACAAUGACCACGAGCCGGCCGUCGAGCACCGCCUUAUAUGUGGUCCCCACGCUCCCGCGGCCGAGCACCUCUGCCGACGCGCGCAUGAGCUGCUCCAGGCUGUAGCUCGCCGCCUCGCCCGCGCAGAAUGUCAGGCACCCGCUCCGCUCCAGGCGCCGUGCCUUCUCCUCCGGCACCAUAAUGGCCGCCGUCUCCUCGUCGGGGACGCACUCGACGUAGCCCAUGUCAGCAUUGUCCCUGCUCACCUCGGACGCGGGCGCGCUCUUCUUGGGGUUGGGGCUCUCGUACGACGCGGUGCUCGGGCGCCUCCGCUUGUUGUUCCUCUUCAUCGCAAUCAUGGCGUAGACAAGAAGCGCGGCGAGGACAGACCCGGCAGCGACCGCGACGGCCAAUUUGGUCAUCCUCCGUCUCGCUCUCUUCGCAUUUGGCACGGACGAAUCCGGCACGCUCAGGUUCUCCCGCUGCGGCCCGCUGUCGCUAGCAGCAGCGCUCUGCACAGGGGGAGCGGCGGUACCGUUCGCGCCGCCCCCGUGGAAGAAGAGGAGGUGGGAGCCGCGGCACUCGCGGCGGACCACCUCGCCGCAGAGCUCGGGGUUGCCCGCGAACGCGGCGGCGCCGACCUGCGAGAUGACGGGCGUGACGGGCACGGGCCCCGAGAAGUUGUUGUAGGAGACGUUGAGCACCUUGAGCGACGACUGGUUCCAGGGCGGGAGGGUGCCGCUGAAGUGGUUGGCGUCGAGGCGGAAGAGGGUGAGGUGCGGGAAGGCGGCCUCGAUGCCGGGCGGGAGCGCGCCGGAGAGCCUGUUCCCGGAGAGGUCGAUGGAGCGGAGGCGGCGCAGGGAGGCGAGCGAGGGCGGGAAGGGCCCCGAGAAGCGGUUCCCCGCGAGGAAGAGCGCCUUGAGGUUGGCGAGCGGGGAGAGGUCCGGGACGGGCCCGUGGAGCGCGUUGGACUUGAGGCUGAGCACGCGGAGCUCGGCGAGGCGCGAGAGCGUGCCCGGCGGGAACGUCCCGUUGAGCCCCGCCGACUCGAGGACGAGGCGGAUGAUAUGGGCGGUGGCCGUGCAUGUGACCCCCGGGCGGGAGCAGGGCGAGGCGGCGGGGCUGGGGAGGCGCAGGCGGGAGGCCGGGUCGGCCUUGGCGAGGAAUGCCGCGAGCGCCGCGGCCGAGGGCGAGACCGGCGGAGGCGUCGACGCCAGCGCCGCGGCGGGGGGCACCGCGGCGGCUUGGACCGGCGGCACUGGCAGCGUCGGCUCCGAGUGCGAUGCGGCGCCGGGCGCCGCGGGUUCCGUGGUGGUGGCGAGCAGGAGGAGGAGGAGGAGGAUGGGGAGGAGCGGGGCGCGGCGGUGGUGUGCCAUUGCGGCGCGGCGAGCGCGUACGGGGGUUUUGGGGCUCGGGAUUUA